GACGAACGCUGGCGGCGUGCUUAACACAUGCAAGUCGAGCGGUAAGGCCCUUUCGGGGGUACACGAGCGGCGAACGGGUGAGUAACACGUGGGUGACCUGCCCUUAGCUCUGGGAUAAGCCUGGGAAACUGGGUCUAAUACCGGAUAUGACUCCAUGACGCAUGUUGUGGGGUGGAAAGCCUUGUGCGGCUAGGGAUGGGCCCGCGGCCUAUCAGCUUGUUGGUGGGGUGAUGGCCUACCAAGGCGACGACGGGUAGCCGGCCUGAGAGGGCGACCGGCCACACUGGGACUGGGACACGGCCCAGACUCCUACGGGAGGCAGCAGUGGGGAAUCUUGCGCAAUGGGCGAAAGCCUGACGCAGCGACGCCGCGUGGGGAUGACGGCC
rnacentral:rRNA from 1 species